UGCCAGCAGCCGCGGUAAUACGGAGGAUCCAAGCGUUAUCCGGAAUCAUUGGGUUUAAAGGGUCCGUAGGUGGAUAAUUAAGUCAGAGGUGAAAUCUUGCAGCUCAACUGUAAAAUUGCCUUUGAUACUGGUUAUCUUGAGUUAUUAUGAAGUAGUUAGAAUAUGUAGUGUAGCGGUGAAAUGCAUAGAUAUUACAUAGAAUACCAAUUGCGAAGGCAGAUUACUAAUAAUCAACUGACACUGAUGGACGAAAGCGUGGGUAGCGAACAGGAUUAGAUA
rnacentral:rRNA from 1 species